rnacentral:rRNA from 1 species
AAUCAACGCUGGCGGCGUGCCUCAGACAUGCAAGUCGAACGCGAAAGUCCCCCUUCGGGGGGACAAGUAGAGUGGCGCACGGGUGAGUAACACGUAGGUAAUCUACCUUUGGAUGGGGAAUAACAACCGGAAACGGUUGCUAAUACCGCAUAAUGCAGCGGCACCUAAUGGUGACAGUUGUUAAAGCGGGGGGAUCGAAAGACCUCGCGUCUGAAGAGGAGCCUGCGGCGGAUUAGCUAGUGGUAAGGUAAUGGCUUACCAAGGCUACGAUCCGUAACCGGCCUGAGAGGGGCGGUCGGUCACACUGACACUGACAUACGGGUCAGACUCCUACGGGAGGCAGCAGUCGGGAAUUUUGGGCAAUGGGCGAAAGCCUGACCCAGCAACGCCGCGUGAAGGAU